rnacentral:rRNA from 1 species
AUGAGCGACGGCGGCGACUCCGUCUCCAGCGAUGACUGCAUCGACGACUGCCUUGACGCGUGCUGCUGCGACUGCUUCUGGGAUAACAUCUGCUUCCGCAUCCUCUGCGCUCUCGUCAUCGUCGCCCUCCUCGCCACCGUGGUCGCGCUGCUCGUCCUCGCCUUCGUCCCCCGCCGCGUCGGCGUCAGCGUCGAGGACGCGGCCCUCUCCCGCCUCGACCUCGCCGUCAAGAAUGCCACGGCGGCCGCGCUAGCCUACGACAUCUCCAUCGCCGUCGCAGUCCACAACGAGAACUUGUUCCUGCCCGCCGAACACACCGCGCGGCUAGACGCGGAUUUGAUCUUCGACGGCGCGCGGUUCGCCCGCGUCGGGCUGGCCACCGCAGGGGCCGUGGUCCGACCGCGGCGCAGGAAAGUGUACCACGCCACGGCGGCGGCCGACAGCGCGAGCGUCGCGCUGGGGAGCGCAGGCGUGUCCGACUUCCUCAAGCAGAGCGCUGCCGGGCUGUUCCAGCUCGAGGUGAAGAUUGUCGGCGAGGUCAUGUACCGACCACACCACAAGAAGCAUAGGCUGGACGCGAUAUGCCGGCUAGAGUUGGCUCUGUCAACGGCAACGUCGCCGGCGAUGUUCAAGAAGGUAAAGUGCGACGUUCAGAAAGGCCAUUGA